AGGACGAACGCUGGCGGCGUGCUUAACACAUGCAAGUCGAGCGAGGCCCGUCCUUCGGGACGGUGCCCUAGCGGCGAACGGGUGAGUAACACGUGGGCAACCUGCCCCUAGCACUGGGAUAACUCCGGGAAACCCGGGGCUAAUACCGGAUAUGACCGUUGAGGGCAUCCUCGAAGGCGUAAAGGAUUCUGGCUAGGGAUGGGCCCGCGGCCUAUCAGCUUGUUGGUGGGGUAACGGCCUACCAAGGCGACGACGGGUA
rnacentral:rRNA from 1 species